UACGUAGGGUGCGAGCGUUGUCCGGAAUUAUUGGGCGUAAAGAGCUUGUAGGCGGGUUGUCGCGUCUGCCGUGAAAAUUCGAGGCUCAACCUCGAACUUGCGGUGGGUACGGGCAGACUAGAGUGUGGUAGGGGAGACUGGAAUUCCUGGUGUAGCGGUGAAAUGCGCAGAUAUCAGGAGGAACACCGAUGGCGAAGGCAGGUCUCUGGGCCACUACUGACGCUGAGAAGCGAAAGCAUGGGGAGCGAACAGG
rnacentral:rRNA from 1 species